UUUAUUAUAGCCCAUCAAAGAGAGAGAGGGCUGUAUUUACAUAUUACACAGUAGAUUUUUUAACUACAACAUAGAAAACAAAGAGAAGAGAGUACAUAAUACCCAUCUCCAAACUCCCUCUCACCACAACAAGAGAGUACAUAUGAUGAGAGACAGAUCUCUCUCUCUCACACACACACACAGAGGAAUAUACAUAUCAUUACCCACCAAAAGAUUUUCACCAUCUAAGUUCGAAGAAGAAAUAAAUAAAGCAAGACGAACAAAAAAAGGAAAAAGAAAUAUCCAAAAAAGAGAUGUAUGUUGCAGAUUGUAUGAAUCUGGUCCAUAGAUUUCGAUCUUGAAUAAAUUUCUAAGUACUUUAGUGGGUUUAUGACUACACCCAAAAAAAAAUUAUGUACAUAUAUUUAGAGAGAGAGAUGUGAUCAAUUUUCUCGGGAAGAAUUGGAGGACAGGACUCUUUUGAUGUCAGCCACAAUUUGUUUAGUUAUCUGCCCCCUGGGAGGAGGGUUGCCGGCGUAGGAAGGAUCUCUUGGAGGCGGCUGCCCCCUGUUGCCGCCAUUCAUCUCUUUCUCUCUCCUUCUCCUCUCUAGGUUGCAAAUGGCAAAUAAGUGGAGUGAGAGUGAGAGUGAGCUGUCAACCCUAACAUACAUAUAGAGGAGUAGAUCUCAAAGUAUAAUUCUUUGAAAAUAAAAAUAAUAUUUAAAUAAUUGUGUGGGAGGCGGUUGUCCAGCACACAACCAAUGAAACAAUGACAUGUGUAUGCAUAUAUGUGGAAGGUGACAUCAUCAGAUAAGGUGGGAAUGACGUACGAUAUCACGGCUAAUUUCACCAAUCUUCCCUGAAAUUUAUGACAUAUAUAGAUAUUUCCCAAUAAGUUUCAGAAAUAAUAUUGACAUUUAUUAUUUUUUAAAUUAAUAUCAAAAUUCUCCUAUCUCCUAUAAAAUUAAUUUUUGUGCAAAAAUAAUAAACUUGCUAUUUUAUUUAAAGACUUCAAAAUUAUUUUCUCAAUACACCCGUUAUGAUAAAUAAAUAUUUUUUUUAAAGAAUUGAUAAAAUUUAUUUUUUAAGUAUAUUUAGAUUAUGAGCACUUAAAAAGUAAAUAUUUAGAUAAUUUGUUUUUUAAAAAAUUAUUAAUAACAAAUUAUGAAAUUUUUUAGUCUAUAUUUUCAUAGAAGGUAGUACUAUAAACUGUUUUGGAUUAAUUUUAUUUAAUAUAUUAUAUAUAUAUAUAUUAUAUAUAUAUAUAGGAGAGAGAGAGAGAGAGAGAGAUGUAAUGAACAAGGUUUGUCAUAUUGUACAAAAAUAAUUUUAAGAGUAAUGUUUGAAUAUUAAUUUAAAAAUAAGAGACUUUAGUGUUAUUUUUUAAACUAUAGAAGAUGGGAUGUAUUUAUCAGAAAUAUCAGUAGGUUGGUUAAAUUUACCUUUUUUUUAAGUAUUGUUUUCUGUAAGAGUGCUUGUUGGUUCAUAAAAAAGUCAGAACUUGUCCUACCCCAUUUCGAUCUUUUUUUAAAAAAAUUGAAUUAUUUUGUUUUCAUAUUUUUUUAAAUAACUUUAUUUAAUGUUUGAUUAAAAUUUUAUAAGUUUUGGGUUUCUCUUGAGCAAAGAAUCUGAAAAAUAUAAAUAUUUGCUCGAAUUUAGAAAAAAAAUCCAAUAAAAAAAUAUUUUAGUUAUCUGUCCCCUGGGAGGAGGAUUGUUGGCGUAGGAAGGAUCUCUUGGAGGCGGCUGCCCCCUGUUGCCGCCAUUCAUCUCUUUCUCUCUCCUUCUCUCUCUUGGUUUGCAAAUGGCAAAUAAGUGGAGUGAGAGUGGGUUGUCAACUUUAUCAUAUAUAGGAGAAGAUCUCACGCACUGGGAAGAAAAAAAAAACAAGAAAAAAAAGGAAAAAGUAUAAUUCUUUUAAAAUAAAAAUAAUAUUUAAAUAAUUGUGUGGGAGACGGCUGUUCAGCACAGAGGCAAUGAAACAAUGACAUGUGUAUGCAUAUACGUGGGGAGGUGACAUCGGCCAAUAAGUUGGGCAUGACGUACGGCUAAUCUUAUCCACGGAUUUUUUUAUGGUAAAUUUCACUGGGUAAUGCUAUGGGUGCAAUCAUAAUGCACCCCAAAUGCACACUUGAUUAGGUGUUGCAUUUGUUGAUUGGGUGUCAGGCUACAUCCAGUCAAUCCAAAUGUAACACCUCAUCAGUGUAUAUUGGGUGCACUAUGGUUGUACCAUAGCAUUUCCCAAUUUCACUAAUCUUUCCUGAAAUUUAAGACACGCAUAGACAUUUUUCAAUGAGUUUCAGAAAUAAUAUUGCCUUCAUUACUUUUUAUGAAAAUUCUCGUAUAAAAUUUAUUUUUGUAUAAAAAUAAUAAAUUUGCUUUUUUAUUUAAGGAUUUCAAAAUUAUUUUCUCAAUACACCCGUUAUGAUAAAUAAAUAUUUUUCUUUUUUAAAAGAAUUAAUAAAAUUUAUUUUUUAAGUAUAUUUAGAUUAUGAGUACUUAAAAAGUAAAAUAGUUACAUAAUUUAUUUUUAAAAAGUUAUUAUGGGCUCAUCACAAAAUAGUUAUCUUCAAUACAAGAAAAGUGUAAAACAGUGACGAAAUGGUCACGACGAAAGUAAAAUUCGUCACUAAAUAUGCCUAUUUUGUGAGAAAAAAUUUAUUUUAUCAGUAAUUAAGAGUCAACAAAUAUUUAAGGUGACGAAAUCUUUUUUUGUUACUAUAUAGUGUCCAAUGAGGAAAAUAUAAAUUUUGUCAUUGAAACAUUAGACAAAAAAAAAUUAGCUGAGAACUUUUUUUUUCGUCACUAAUAUUUUCCUUUCAUACUCACUAAAACCUUGAAACCAAUAGGUGACGAAAAAAACUUCACAAAGAAAAGUGAUUGCGUGAGGAAACUUAUUCGGUCACCUAAAUUAUUUAAAAAAAUAGGUGACAAAAUAUUUUCCUCACGAAAGGUAAGUGUUUGGGUGAUAAAAGUUGUUCUUUCAACCAAUGUAUUCAUUUUGUGUGAGAAAACGUGUUUUGUCACCCAAUUUAUCUGAAAUUAAUAGGUGACAAAAAAAAUUUAUCACCAAAGAAAAAUUAUUUCGUCUCCCAAUUUAAUAAUUUUUUGUGACCCAAUUUUCGGAAAUUAAUAGGUGACAAAAGAAUUAUCACCCAAAAAAAGUUAUUUUGUCUCCCAAUUUAAUAAUUUUUCGUGAGAUAAGUUUAUUUCGUCACUCAAAUUAUUUGAAACAAAUGGGUGAUGAAAGUUAUUUUAUCCUCUAAUGUAUUCAUUUUGCGUGAGAAAACAUGUUUCGUCAUCCAAUUUAUCUGAAAUCAGUAGGUGACCAAAAAAAUUCAUCACAAAAGGAAAGUUAUUUCGUGAGGAAAGUCGUUUCGUCACCUAAUUUAAUAAUUUUUCGUGAGAAACUUUAUUUCGGUUCCUCAAAUUAUUUAUUUAAAAUGAAUAGGUAGGAAUUGUUUGGGUGAGAAAAGUUGUUUUGUCACCCAAUAAAUUUAUUUUGCGUGAGAAAAUAUGUUUCGUCACAAAAUUUAUUUGAAAUCAUUAUAUGACAAAAAAAAUCAUCACAAAAGAAAAAUGAUUGGGUGAGGAAAGUUAUUUCGUUACCCAAUUUAAUAUUUUUUUGUGAAAAAUUUAUUUUGUCACCCAAAUUAUUUAAAAUGAAUAAUUGACGGAAUAUUUUCCUCACAAAAGGUAAGUGUUUGUGUGAGAAAAGUUAUUUCGUCACCUAAUGUAUUAAAAUUUGUUAGACUAGGUUGGCGGAUCUUACCAAAUACCAAAACUAUUUUACAAUUGAGGUCGUUUUGUUGUCCUUUUAUAUUAAAUUAUUCUCGUAAAAACUUGUGUUUGUGAGUUUAAAAUUAAAUGUCUUUGAUCGAGAUAUUUGGGUUAUUAUUGGUAUGAUGUUUUUAUCAGUUAAAUGUCUAUCAAUAUGCGAUCAAUUUUUUUUUGGGUACAAAUGAUGAACUCCAUAAUAUGUAAAAGAUAAACGGUUCUGAUCACAAAAAUAAAACUCAAGUGGGGGUAAUCUUGUCUAGUAUAAUCUUUAAUGUCUAUUGAGAUGCAUUAAAUUUUAUCCGAUCACGAUGACGCCGACAUCUGAUGAUCUCCGAUUUUGGUUACAAAGAUAAAAUUACCGAGAUGUGAAAUCCAAACGAUUUAGAAGAAUUGAUUUGAUAAUGACUUUAAAAAAAUAUUCGUUCAAUACAAUUGAUAACAACCUAAGUGCUGUAUUGUACCUGAAUAUGCAUUGGUCACGCAAAUGCGAUACAAUCAUGAUGAUCGAGAUCGAUGAUUUUGUUGUAGUGUUUGAUUAAUUCAUUUUCGUAAAAAUUUGGCUAGAUUGAGUUUACAAUACUUCUUGAUCAGGAUAAAUUUUAUUAUUUGAAUGAUACUUUUUUGUCUGCUUAAAUGUCUAUCGAUAUACAAUCAAUUUUAUUUUAAUUAUAAUUGAUAUACUCUAUAAUAUGUAACAGAUGUACGGUUUGAUCACCCCAAAGGAACUCAGGUAGUACUCAAGUGGUCCAUUAUAUGUCUUUAAUGCCUUGUGAUAAAGUUAAAAGUCAUCUGAUCAUGCGAUCGCUGAUAUACGAUGAUUUUCGAUUUUGGUAAAAAUUGAUGAAAUUAAUAAUUUAAAAUCCUAAUAGUUCAGAUAGAGCAUCAUAAAAAUUGGCCUUGCAACUGCCUUUUAAUUUCAUAUGUUCAACCUACUUGUUUGUAAACUAAAUCUUGCGUUGUAAUUGACUUUAUAAUAGUCACAAGACUGCGAUAUAAUCAUAACGAUCAAAACCACUAAUGUUUUUGCGCUUGUCAAUGAUAUUAUUCUCAUAAAUUUUGAGCUCCAUCGGAUAUAGAAAUCCUCUUCAUUAGAAUACAAUUUCUUUCUGUUAAGGCAUGUGAUAUGACAUAACAAAAUGUGUUAAUUAUGCAUAUUUUAUUUUUUCUUUGUAAACGCCCUUUGUGAUUGAAGUCCAACUUAUUUUAUUCAAUAUCAAUCUUUCUAAAAGAUAUACGCCUUCUUG
rnacentral:lncRNA from 1 species